rnacentral:tRNA from 1 species
UCUGCGGUAGCUCAGUGGUAGAGCGAUCGGCUGUUAACCGAUUGGUCGCAGGUUCGAAUCCUGCCCGCAGAGCCA